rnacentral:rRNA from 1 species
UACGUAGGGUGCAAGCGUUGUCCGGAAUUAUUGGGCGUAAAGAGCUCGUAGGCGGUUUGUCGCGUCUGCUGUGAAAACUGGAGGCUCAACCUCCAGCCUGCAGUGGGUACGGGCAGACUAGAGUGCGGUAGGGGAGAUUGGAAUUCCUGGUGUAGCGGUGAAAUGCGCAGAUAUCAGGAGGAACACCGAUGGAGCGAAGGCAGGUCGUCUGGGCAUUAACUGACGCUGGAGGAGCGAAAGCAUGGGGAGCGAACAGG